CGGCGUGCCUAAUACAUGCAAGUCGAGCGAACAGACGAGGAGCUUGCUCCUCUGACGUUAGCGGCGGACGGGUGAGUAACACGUGGAUAACCUACCUAUAAGACUGGGAUAACUUCGGGAAACCGGAGCUAAUACCGGAUAAUAUAUUGAACCGCAUGGUUCAAUAGUGAAAGACGGUUUUGCUGUCACUUAUAGAUGGAUCCGCGCCGCAUUAGCUAGUUGGUAAGGUAACGGCUUACCAAGGCAACGAUGCGUAGCCGACCUGAGAGGGUGAUCGGCCACACUGGAACUGAGACACGGUCCAGACUCCUACGGGAGGCAGCAGUAGGGAAUCUUCCGCAAUGGGCGAAAGCCUGACGGAGCAACGCCGCGUGAGUGAUGAAGGUCUUCGGAUCGUAAAACUCUGUUAUUAGGGAAGAACAAAUGUGUAAGUAACUAUGCACGUCUUGACGGUACCUAAUCAGAAAGCCACGGCUAACUACGUGCCAGCAGCCGCGGUAAUACGUAGGUGGCAAGCGUUAUCCGGAAUUAUUGGGCGUAAAGCGCGCGUAGGCGGUUUUUUAAGUCUGAUGUGAAAGCCCACGGCUCAACCGUGGAGGGUCAUUGGAAACUGGAAAACUUGAGUGCAGAAGAGGAAAGUGGAAUUCCAUGUGUAGCGGUGAAAUGCGCAGAGAUAUGGAGGAACACCAGUGGCGAAGGCGACUUUCUGG
rnacentral:rRNA from 1 species